rnacentral:rRNA from 1 species
UACGAAGGGGGCUAGCGUUGCUCGGAAUCACUGGGCGUAAAGGGUGCGUAGGCGGCCGUGCGAGUCUGGCGUGAAAGCCCCGGGCUCAGCCCGGGAAGUGCGCUCGAAACUGCACGGCUCGAGUGCCGGAGGGGAGAGUGGAAUUCCUGGUGUAGCGGUGAAAUGCGUAGAUAUCAGGAGGAAUACCGGUGGCGAAAGCGACUCUCUGGACGGCAACUGACGCUGAGGCACGAAAGCGUGGGGAGCAAACAGG